UACGUAGGGUGCAAGCGUUAAUCGGAAUUACUGGGCGUAAAGCGUGCGUAGACGGUAGCGUAAGUCGGAUGUGAAAGCCCCGGGCUUAACCUGGGAAUGGCAUUCGAGACUGCAUAGCUAGGAUGCGGAAGAGGGAAGUGGAAUUUCCGGUGUAGCGGUGAAAUGCGUAGAUAUCGGAAGGAACACCAGUGGCGAAAAGCGACUUCCUGGUCCAGCAUCGACGUCAGGCACGAAAGCGUGGGGAGCAAACAGG
rnacentral:rRNA from 1 species